rnacentral:rRNA from 1 species
AUUGAACGCUGGCGGCAUGCCUUACACAUGCAAGUCGAACGGCAGCACGGGUGCUUGCCCCUGGUGGCGAGUGGCGAACGGGUGAGUAAUACAUCGGAACACGUCCCGUAGUGGGGGAUAGCCCGGCGAAAGCCGGAUUCCUACCGCAUACGAUCUACGGCAGGAAGCGGGGGCAAUGCGCGCGUCGCGCUCUCGGGUGAGUCGUUGGCGGAGUAGGUAGUUGGGGGGGGAUAGGCCUACCAAGGUGACGCGGAGUAUGUGAUCUGGGAGGAAGAGCAGCCACACUGGGACUGAGACACGGCCCAGACUCCUACGGUAGGCAGCAGUGGGGAAUGUUGGACAAUGGGCGAAAGCCUGAUCCAGCAAUGCCGCGUGUGUGAAGAAGGCCUUCGGGUUGUAAAGCACUUUUGUCCGGAAAGAAAUCCUUGGCCCUAAUACGGUCGGGGGAUGACGGUACCGGAAGAAUAAGCACCGGCUAACUACGUG